rnacentral:misc_RNA from 1 species
CCUUGUGGAGGAGGACGCCGAAGGUGGGGCUAAUGACUGGGGUGAAGUCGUAACAAGGUAGCCGUACCGGAAGGUGCGGCUGGAUCACCUCCUAACAGGGAGACAACAAAAUGUUUAAUAUUAUUAUUUUGUCACCUUAGGUCGAUCGGUAUCUCACGUUCUUAAUUUAUUAAAGAAUUUCAUUUCCUAAGUUUUUCUAGGUCACACCCAUUUAUUUUCCUGGGCCAUUAGCUCAGGUGGUUAGAGCGCACCCCUGAUAAGGGUGAGGUCCCUGGUUCAAGUCCAGGAUGGCCCAUAUCUCUAUGUUGGGGGUAUAGCUCAGUUGGUAGAGCGCCUGCUUUGCAAGCAGGAUGUCAGCGGUUCGAGUCCGCUUACCUCCACUGAUUUCCACCUCUUCCAUAAUUUGUAGAAAGGAAAUGUUUUGAGUUGUGACCAAAGUCUGAACGAAUCUAGCUUCCUAAUGAAAUCAUUAAGAUGCUGGACUCAUUGAAUUAAUUUCAUUGUUUUCAGAGAACCUUGACAACUGCAUAGAUUAUUUUUAAAGACAAUAAGCAUCUUUAAUGAUGCAGAUUUAUUAUUUGUGCGAAUGCAUUAAUAACAAUUCUAUUAAGCUGAUGCUUCAAUUUUGAAGUUAUUGGUCAAGCUACAAAGGGCUCACGGAGGAUACCUAGGC